rnacentral:rRNA from 1 species
GAUGAACGCUGGCGGCGUGCCUAAUACAUGCAAGUCGAGCGAACGGACGAGGAGCUUGCUUCUCUGAUGUUAGCGGCGGACGGGUGAGUAACACGUGGAUAACCUACCUAUAAGACUGGGAUAACUUCGGGAAACCGGAUCUAAUACCGGAUGAUAUUUUGAACCGCAUGGUUCAAAAGUGAAAGACGGUCUUGCUGUCACUUAUAGAUGGAUCCGCGCUGCAUUAGCUAGUUGGUAAGGUAACGGCUUACCAAGGCAACGAUGCAUAGCCGACCUGAGAGGGUGAUCGGCCACACUGGAACUGAGACACGGUCCAGACUCCUACGGGAGGCAGCAGUAGGGAAUCUUCCGCAAUGGGCGAAAGCCUGACGGAGCAACGCCGCGUGAGUGAUGAAGGUCUUCGGAUCGUAAAACUCUGUUAUUAGGGAAGAACAUAUGUGUAAGUAACUGUGCACAUCUUGACGGUACCUAAUCAGAAAGCCACGGCUAACUACGUG